UCCAUCGGUUUUGGGUACAUAUUGACAGGCCUGUUUGGUGUGGGUGGAUUGGGACCAGCAGUGGUCUUUUGCUCUCAGGUUAGUAAAACCCUCUCCGUCAUGUUUCAUUAUAAUAGUUGAAGCAUGCGCCAUUCUGCAGAUGUGCAUCAAACAAAUGACACUGUGGAUAAUGUAUGAAUUUGGUAAAAUAUGUUGAUGUGACAAUCUAUUGAAUUAUUAUUAUUUAUUUUUUUCUUUAGCAUCCUGUGACAGACAUCCGGUUAUGCAUUCUUCUUCUCUCUCACGGGAUACUUUGGCAUUUCAUUUGUGCUGCACUUGAUCAAACUCUUCGGAGCCCUGGUCACAGUCACAGUGACGACCGGACGUAAGGCGAUGACAAUUAUCCCUUUAUGUUCUUCUCAAAGCCUUUUACUUUUCAGUACAUAUUGAGUGGCCUUUUAGUUCUGUUGGGCAUUUUCCUGAAUGUUUACAGCAAAAACAAAGACGAGACGAAGCUGCCAUCUUUGGCCGACCUCAGCAAUAUGGUUCUAACAGGGAAGAAAGUCAGGCUGCUAUCACAGAAUGUGUAGUAAGAGGGACCUAUGUCGGGAUAAACAGACGUUUUUCUGAACGUUCCUAUCUAACAUGGACCUAAUAACGGGUGGGCUCCUAACGCCUUUAAAGGCGAUAUAGAGCCCCGUCCAUAAGCAUUCCCAGGAGGAGAACAUAGAUAUGGUGCACCUACGAGACUCGGAAAUGGAAGCUGGCCUCUUAGCUAACCUUAAUAGCACAGUUUUGCACUGUAAGUGACUAAUGACUUUAGCCUGUGCAAGGCGAAGGGGGACGAGACAGUUGAAAGAUAAGCUCUGAACUUUUAUUGAACUGAUCAUGUCCCGAAUGUUUAUUUUCACCUGCAUGUGCCAGAAGACAAAAAAAAAAGUGUUUUACUCAAUGAUUGUCUGAGAAAUGUCUUCUUAUGGUAUAUUUGUCAUUUAUAUCCAAUUGUACAAAAUACCGCUCAGCAGCACAUUGACAUCUUGUCAUGCUCGGAAGUGUAUAAACGUGUCAACCACCAUAUUUGCGAACAAUUUAUUUUUGUGAAAGGUUAGCUCUUUUUACAUUAAAAACCAACUGGGAAGUUUAU